GACAGAGGCCUCAAGCGUUAGGCGGAAUCACUGGGCUUAAAGCGUGUGUAGGCGGAUCGUUAAGUGUCUUGUGAAAUCCCACGGCUCACCCGUGGAACGGCUGGGCAUACUGGCGAAUCUUGGGCCAACUAGGGGCAACUGGAACAAGCGGUGGAGCGGUGAAAUGCGUAGAUAUCGCUUGGAACGCCGAAGGUGAAAACAGGUUGCUGGGGU
rnacentral:rRNA from 1 species